CAGGGAAUAGUUUAAGGUUAGAAUCUCAGCUUUGGGUGUUGAAGGUAGAAUGGGGAUUUCUUUCCCUGA
rnacentral:tRNA from 2 species